rnacentral:lncRNA from 1 species
UCCCCCCCAGUUUUAUCAUUGGAAUGUGAUACAAAACAAGACAACGGUGUGCUUUAGGACCAUGUGGACGCCUCCAAGUGGUCGGGUAUGCUGUUUGGAGUGUUUAUCCGACUGGAUUUAGGACCAUGCGUACACCACAGAGUGGGCUGACAGGCAACGCUUCUGGAAGGCUGGUUGGACCAGCACGGGAGAGUUGAGCAUAGUUCAGUGUGUAAGUGUUGCGCUCUUUCACCAAGUUGUAAAAGGAAAAGAAACUGGCCACUCUUUCAUUGACUGAUGUAGCUGGCAAUGUAACUGCUGUUUACCCUAAACAGCGGUUGACAUGCUUCGAAGGACGGUAAUGGAAUAUUUAGAUUUUUUUUGUCACGAAUUGCGCCAUGCUCGUCACCCUUAUUUAUCCUUUCGGAUAGUGUCUUGAACGCACGAACAAAACGCCGCUAUUUGGAUAUAACUAUGGAUUAUUUUGAACCAAACCAACAUUUGUUAUUGAAGUAGAAGUCCUGGGAGUGCAUUCUGACGAAGACAGCAAAGCAGGAUCAGAUGGUGACAGGGGUCCCAGCAGUGUCAAACAGCCAGGGAAGACCAGCCUACAGAGCUCAGGAGGAUUAUAUGGUGACAGGGGUCUCAGCAGAGUCAGGCAGCCAGGGAAGACCAGUCUGUGACGGAGCGCUGGCGAGAGGAGCAGAAAACGAGUGGGCUGCUGAGCGCCCAAGUAGAUCAUGGGAGGCAGACACAGUCGUACAAAGCACUCAGUAAUGGUCUUUAGACAAAGAACACAUGGCCUUCUGAGGAAAACUAGAUCAAUGGACAUAACUCUAACAAGGCAUACUACAUCUACAUGUCCUACAUGUGUCUGCUAGCCGGACUGCUGUAUCCUCCUGGCAAAGGGUUUCUAGGGAAUUGUAUGAUCUUCUAGCCCCACGCUGGCUGGUUACAUGCUGAGGACAGCUUCAACAGAGACAUGUAGCGACAGAUAUGUAUUUGGUUGAACUGUACAGCCUUAUAGUUAUUUUAUAGUAGCUGUAUGUUCCCGCCGCCUCUCACAACAUUGGUCUUUAAUGCUUGCUGAUUCUUUAAUGCUUGCUGAUUCUUUAAUGCUUGCUAAGUCUUUGUGCAUCUGUCUUGUCUAAUUAAAUGUCAGAUUUUUCUGCUUUUGAAAUACAUUGUGACAUGCAGCCUCAUCUCCGGUCUCACCCCCAACACACUCCCACAUCCACCAAUCAAAAGACUCCGGUCUCUCCCCCAAUGCACUCCCACAUCCACCAACCAACAGACUGCGGUCUCUCCCUCAACGCACUCCCACUCCCACCAACAAAUAGACUCCGGUCUCUCUCUCAAUGCACUCCUACUCCCACCAACCAACAGACUCCGGUCUCUCCCCUAAUGCACUCCCACACCCACCAACCAACAGACUCCGGUCUCUACCCCAAUGCACUCCCACACCCACCAACCAACAGACUCCGGUCUCUCCCCCAAUGCACUCCCACCAACCAACAGACUCAGGUCUCUCCCCCAAUGCACUCCCACACCACCAACUAACAUAUUCUUGUCUCUCCCUCAACACACUCCCACACCCACCAACAAAGAGACUCCAGUCUCUACUCCCACUCUCAGCAACAAAGACACUCCGGUCUCUACUCCCACCAACCAACAGACUCCGGUCUCUCCCCCAAUGCACUUCCACACCCACCAACCAACAGACUCCGGUCUCUCCCCCAAUGCACUUUCACUCCCACACCCACCAACCAACGAACUCCGGUCUCUCCCCAACGCAAUCCCACACCCACCAACAAACAUAUUCUUGUCUCUCCCUCAACACACUCCCACACCCACCAACCAACAGACUCCAGUCUCUCCUCCCACUCUCACCAACAAAGAGACUCCGGUCUCUCCUCCAACUCUCACCAACAAAGAGAC